AGGACGAACGCUGGCGGCGUGCUUAACACAUGCAAGUCGAGCGGAAAGGCCCUUCGGGGUACUCGAGCGGCGAACGGGUGAGUAACACGUGAGCAACCUGCCCUUAGCUCCGGGAUAGCUCCGGGAAACCGGAAUUAAUACCGGAUAUGACCUAGGCCGACAUCGGCUGUGGUGGAAAGUUUUUCGGCUGGGGAUGGACUCGCGGCCUAUCAGCUUGUUGGUGGGGUAAUGGCCUACCAAGGCGACGACGGGUAGCCGGCCUGAGAGGGCGACCGGCCACACUGGGACUGAGACACGGCCCAGACUCCUACGGGAGGCAGCAGUGGGGAAUCUUGCGCAAUGGGCGAAAGCCUGACGCAGCGACGCCGCGUGGGGGAUGAAGGCCUUCGGGUUGUAACCCCUUUCAGCAGGGACGAAGCGAAAGUGACGGUACCUGCAGAAGAAGCGCCGGCUAACUACGUGCCAGCAGCCGC
rnacentral:rRNA from 1 species